AAAAGUUUGCAGAUGCUUACCCUAGAAUAUGGCAGAUCCACAGAUAGAAGCAGCCUGGUUUGUGAGUAGCAGCUUUGGAAGCUCAACAUGGGUGGCUGCUGGGAGUCUCCACGUGGGACUCUUCAUGAGGGAGAAAUCAACAGUUAGCAUAGUCGUGGUGGACAGUCAAAUGGGUACUCGGCAAGUACCUUCCCAAGCUCCCUUGCAGGGAUGGUGGUCAUGUGACACAGACCUGGCCAUUGAGAUGUGAGCAUUGCUCUCCUCUCUCAGUGCAUUACUGGAAAUGGGAUCACAUUCGCGGAGCUGCCCAGAGGGAUGCUUCAAGGACAGGGGAUGAUAUUCGUCCAGGAUCUGGGAUUCCCAAACACCCUUCUGGUCAGUCAGUAUAUGCAGCAGUUGUUAAGCUUUGGAAUCAGACUUCCUGGCAUGAGAACAGACUAAUACACUAACUAAUGGAGGAAUGACUUGAUUCAGAAAUGUAAAGAAAUGGGACGGCUUGCACCUCAG